GAUGAAGAACGUAGCGAAAUGCGAUAAGUAAUGUGAAUUGCAGAAUUCAGUGAAUCAUCGAGUCUUUGAACGCACAUUGCGCCCCCUGGUAUUCCGGGGGGCAUGCCUGUCCGAGCGUCAUUGCUGCCCUCAAGCACGGCUUGUGUGUUGGGCCCCCGCCCCCCGGCUUCGGGGGGCGGGCCCGAAAGGCAGCGGCGGCACCGCGUCCGGUCCUCGAGCGUAUGGGGCUUCGUCACCCGCUCUGUAGGCCCGGCCGGCGCCCGCCGGCGACCCCAAUCAAUCUUUCCAAGUUGACCUCGGAUCAGGUAGGGAUACCCGCUGAACUUAAGCAUAUCAAUAAGCGGAGGA
rnacentral:misc_RNA from 1 species